rnacentral:rRNA from 1 species
UACAGAGGGUGCAAACGUUGUUCGGAAUUACUGGGCGUAAAGCGUGUGUAGGCGGCCUCGUAGGUCGGAUGUGAAAGCUCUCGGCUCAACCGGGAAAGUGCAUUCGAAACCACAAGGCUUGAGUGUCGGAGAGGAAGGCGGAAUUGUCGGUGUAGAGGUGAAAUUCGUAGAUAUCGACAGGAACACCUGCGGCGAAAGCGGCCUCUGGACGAACACUGACGCUGAGACACGAAAGCGUGGGGAGCAAACAGG